rnacentral:rRNA from 9 species
UCCGACCUCAGAUCGGACGAGAUUACCCGCUGAAUUUAAGCAUAUAACUAAGCGGAGGAAAAGAAACUAACAAGGAUUCCCCCAGUAACGGCGAGUGAAGCGGGAAUAGCCCAGCACCGAAUCCCUCAGUGUCAUGCUGACGGGAACUGUGGUGUGUGGGACGCCACCAGUCGCAUCAGAGGGCGCCGAAGUCCUCCUGAUCGGGGCUUCACCCAGAGCGGGUGUAAGGCCUUUGCGGGUGCCUCUCUGUGCGGCCGCGAGCGUCUCAGGAGUCGGGUUGUUUGGGAAUGCAGCCCAAAGCGGGUGGUAAACUCC